AUGCCUCAGUGUCUGGAGUAGCUGGGAUUACAGGCACGCGCCACCAUGCCCAGCUAAUUUUUGUAUUUUUAGUAGAGACGGGGUUUCAGCAUGUUGGUUAGGCUGGUCUUGAACUCCUGACCUCGUGAUCCGCCCUCCUCGGCCUCCCAAAGUGCCGGGAUUACAGGCGUGAGCCACUGCUCCCGGCGUUUGGGUUUUUUAAGCUAUUCAAAUUAAGUAGACUGGAAUCUGGAGCAGUGUGUGUGACAACCCCUCUGCACACCCAACUUUCCCCGGGCCGGCUAGUGACUCAAAGCGACAGCCCAGAUUUAAGAAAACGAAACCUAGUGCAGCUGGGGCACUUCCGGGAUCUCGCUAUCCGGCCGCCACCCGCAGCUGCAGCACAGUCAUGGCCCAGGCGUCGCCGCCCCGGCCCGAGAGGGUGCUCGGCGCCAGCAGCCCGGAGGCCCAGCCCGCGCAGGAGGCGCUCCUCCUUCCCACCGGUGUCUUUCAGGUUGCAGAAAAGAUGGAAAAAAGGACAUGUGCACUCUGCCCCAAAGAUGUCGAGUAUAAUGUCCUGUACUUUGCACAAUCAGAGAAUAUAGCUGCUCAUGAGAAUUGUUUGCUGUAUUCUUCAGGACUUGUGGAAUGUGAGGAUCAGGAUCCACUUAAUCCUGAUAGAAGUUUUGAUGUGGAAUCAGUAAAGAAAGAAAUCCAGAGAGGAAGGAAGUUGAAAUGCAAAUUUUGUCAUAAAAGAGGAGCCACCGUGGGAUGUGAUUUAAAAAACUGUAACAAGAAUUACCACUUUUUCUGUGCCAAGAAGGACGACGCAGUUCCACAGUCUGACGGAGUUCGAGGAAUUUAUAAACUGCUUUGCCAGCAACAUGCUCAAUUCCCGAUCAUCGCUCAAAGUGCUAAAUUUUCAGGAGUGAAAAGAAAAAGAGGAAGGAAGAAACCCCUCUCAGGCAAUCAUGUACAGCCACCCGAAACAAUGAAAUGUAAUACAUUCAUAAGACAAGUGAAAGAAGAGCAUGGCAGACACACAGAUGCAACUGUGAAAGUUCCUUUUCUUAAGAAAUGCAAGGAAGCAGGACUUCUUACUUACUUACUUGAAGAAAUAUUAGACAAAGUUCAUUCAAUUCCAGAAAAACUCAUGGAUGAGACUACUUCAGAAUCAGACCAAGCACUUCCCAAACAGUGUGCCUGAGAACCACCUGUAGGGCUGGUGAGGACACAGAUAGCUGGGCCUAUCCCACAGAGAUUCUGAUUCAGUACAAAUACCAAGAAUUGGGGGCCAGGCGCGGUGGCUCACGCCUGUAAUCCCAGCACUUUGGGAGCCCGAGACUAUGAAGAAAUCGGGAGUGCACUUUUUGACUGUAGAUUGUUCGAAGACACAUUUGUAAAUUUUCAAGCAGGUAUAUGAGUUAUAUAACAUCUGAGCAGCACAGUUGAGAAAUAUUUAUCACGAUAUUGAAACAAUAUACUAUACAGCAAUAGAGAAAAAAAUUCAUGCAUCUCAACAAAGGUGGCAGCAGUUGAAGGAAGAGAUUGAGCUACUUCAGGACUUAAAACAAACCUUGUGCUCUUUUCAAGAAAAUAGAGAUCUUAUGUCAAGUUCUACAUCAAUAUCAUCCCUGUCUUAUUAGGGAAUUACCGUUUCCUAAGCCAAGAGUCAUGUCAAAUUGCAAUCAGGCUCAAAACCAGAGAACAGGCUGUGAAAUCCACACAUCUUUAGAACUAGUCGUCUCCUCUUGGCCUCAGCAGCUCUUCCCUGUUCUUACUGGUUGACAUUUUGAUCACUCUUUGCACACUCUUGUGUUUUUUGCUCACUGUCACAUUCCCAGCACCUAGUAUGCUCAGCAAAUGUUUGUGGAAUAAGUGCAUAAAAUGUUCUUAACCUUUGAUUCUACUUACAGCCCAUGAUACCCUCUUAGAUAUAAUAAAUUUGGAUUAUACUA